AUCUGGUUGAUCCUGCCAGUAGUCAUGCUUGUCUCAGAGAUCAAGCCGUGCGUGUCUAAGUACAUAACUUUAAACGGUGAAACCGCAAAUGGCUCAUUAAAUCAGCUAUGAUUCUUUGGAUCUUACAUACUACAUGGAUAACUGUAGUAACUCCAGAGAUAAUACGUGCCACUAUGCCCUGACCCGCGAGGGAACGGGUGGAUUUAUUAGAACAAAACCAACCAAGGGUGGCUUCGGUCGCCCCUGUUGCAUUCCGUGAUGACUCUGGAUAACUUCACCGAUCGCAGUCGGGCUUGUGUCGGCGACGGAUCUUUCAAAUGCUUGCUCUAUCAAUUUUCGAUGGUAGGUGACCUGCCUACCAUGGUGCUAACGGGUAACGGGGAAUCAGGGUUCGAUUCCGGAGAGGGAGCCUGAGAAACGGCUACCACUUCCAAGGAAGGCAGCAGGCACGCAAAUUACCCAAUCCCGGCACGGGGAGGUAAUGACGAAAAAUACAGAUACGGGACUCACUAGAGGCUCCGUAAUUUGAAUGAGUACGAUUUGAAUCCUUUAACGAGGAUCAACUGGAGUACAAGUCUGAAGCCAGCAGCCGCGGCAACUCAAGCUCCAGAAGAGUAUAUGGAAAUUGUUGCAGUUGAAAAGCUCGUAGUUGGAUCUGGGUCGCAUGGCUACGUGCCGUCGCUCGUGGGUCUGGCCUGACUACUGCCGGGUUGAGCUUGCGAGUCGGUCUCGUGGUUGUGCUUUUUCUGCUGUGCCUGUUUGCAGGCAUCAGCGUCACCGGUGGGCUCGCCUGCUAGUCUGUUGGCGUGUUUCUUGGUGCCUUUAAUCAGGUUUCGGAGGCGGACAGCACGUUUACUUUGAACAAAUUUGAGUGCUCAAAGCAGGCCUUUGUGCCUGAAAAUUCUUGCAUGGAAUAAUGGAAUAGAACUUCGGUUCCAUUUUUUGGUUUCCGGAUCCGAAGCAGCGAUUAAGAGGGACAGGCGGGGGCAUUUGUAUGGUGGUGUUAGAGGUGAAACUCAUGGACCGCUGCCAGACAAAAUACAGCGAAAGCUUUUGUCAAGGAUGUUUAUUGAACUUCAGCGAAAGUCAGAGGUUCAAAGACGAUCAGAUGUCGUCCCAGUUCUGAACACAAACGAUGCCAACUGACGAUCUGUGAGGGUUCCUCAUGUGUUCCCAACGACAGUCCCCGGGAAACCUCAAGACUUUGGGCUCCGGGGGAAUUACGGAUGCAAAGAUGAAUUUUAAAGACAUUCCGGGACGGGCAACACCAGGAGUGCAGACCAUGGCAUAAUUCGACUCAACACGAAAAAGACGGUGGUGGUAUUUCACUGUCGACAAGCCUUGAAGGACCGGUCUCCCACUUAUCCUACACCCGUUAUGUUUCUUCAUGAAGUCAGGCUAGAGUCAAGCUCAACAGAGUCUUCUUUCCCCGCUAAUUCGGCCGAACCCCUUGCCUUGGCUGUUGUUUCGCUAGAUAGUAGAUAGGGGCAGUGGGAAUCUCGUUAUUCCAUUCAUGAUCGUCAAUAAUUAGAUGACGAGGCAUUUGGUUAUAAUAUGUAAUUUUGUCAAACAUGGGUCAAAUUGAGCUGUUCUGACAUAGCGUUUGGCAAGCGCUAUACACGGUACAGUAAUGAGGUCACCCAAAAGGAAUAUAUUUGUGCUUUCGCGAAAUGGUGGUGCGAGUCCGUGGCAUAGUGCAUGUGCGUGGGCGUGGAAUGUGUUGGAUUGAGAAAUAGAGUUAAGUAGUACCUCUCAUGUAUCGGAGGUACGUCUUGGUGGAGCCACGCGUCGUUGUAGGAACCAUGUCCAGAACAUUCAAGGGGGAGAGGUGCAACCGGCGCAGAGUUGACGCGGAGGAUUUAUGUACAAACCCGUUAUAUGUGAUAACAAUGGGUCGAUGUACGAUGUUAGGAGUGGUGUGCCCACAGGCCGAUAGGAGCCAUCGGAUUGCCGCACUAACGGUGGGGGUGGCGUACUUGGCGACUUUGCUUGACAGUGUCUGUUGGAUGAGGGAUGGGUCACAAAUCGCCAUGUCGCACAAAAAGGCCGUAUUCCCUUUUACGACUAUGACAUCGGGUUUACAGAAAGUCUUUGGGAGCGGUAUACGUGGCUCGUUGUAGCAGAUAGCACCCGUGCGCAGCAGCCUUUUUAGGAACAGGUUGACCACAUCGUCGUGUCUGCGACACCGCGCGUCGUGAGUGAUGCUUCAGGACUGUAAGGUGUGGGAAAGGGAUUCUGGCUGUCCAGAGCCUCCCCGGUAGAAUGUAUCAUCAGCGAUGCGUUGCCCUUAUGUGCUCCUUGUCUUAGUGGACAGAAGGUGACACCUUAAUUUAAUGUUAUGGAUGAAGUCCCGAGGGAACAUCC
rnacentral:rRNA from 1 species